CAGCCACUAGAGGCAGUGUUAACCCUGCAAUUUAAAGAUUGCAGUUUCUUUGAAACUCCAAUGUUUUCAGCUGCAGUGUAAAGAGGACAGGGUCACUGCACCUACACCUCUUUGACAUGAAGUGGUCUUGGUGCUUAUAGUGUCCUUUUAACUAUUGAUUUUACAUUAAUGGGCAAAGAUUCAUAUAUAAAAGCUAUUUCUAAUGCAGUCGGGAAGUCACUUGGAAUUUGGUGUGACUUUAAAAGAUGAAGAGACACCAAAGCUUACAUAGUGGUUUUGGUACGUUGAUGCUGUCCAUUUACUCUGACAUUGUAAAAUCUUGCCAUUUCUAAGAAAUGUCAGUAUUGGUUUGAAAACAGCCUCUAGAUGUACUAUCUCCUGAACACCUUCAACCUUCCAAGAAACUCACAUUUGAAUACAUUUGAAUGUAGCUAAUGCUUAAUUUUAACUUAAAAAAGGCAAGGGGACCCAUAAAUCUAACAAGAAUAAGGAACAAAUCUCCACAUCUCAUCGUAGCCGUGUCCCUCACCAUGUCACAAGAAGCUUAUAGGCUGUGAAGGA